rnacentral:rRNA from 1 species
GACAGAGGGUGCGAGCGUUAAUCGGAAUUACUGGGCGUAAAGCGCGCGUAGGCGGCUUUGCAAGCCGGAUGUGAAAUCCCCGGGCUUAACCUGGGAACUGCAUUCGGGACUGCAUUGCUAGAGUAUGGGAGAGGGAAGUGGAAUUUCAGGUGUAGCGGUGAAAUGCGUAGAUAUCUGAAGGAACAUCAGUGGCGAAAGCGACUUCCUGGACCAAUACUGACGCUCAUGUGCGAAAGCGUGGGGAGCAAACAGGAUUAGAAACCCCCGUAGUCC